CCCUGGAUAGCUCAGUUGGACAGAGCGUGGUGCUGAUAAUGCCAAGGUUGCAGGUUUGAUCCCCGUAAGGGA